rnacentral:rRNA from 1 species
GCUACCAUGCAGUCGAGCGGAUGACGGGAGCUUGCUCCUUGAUUCGACGGCGGACGGGUGAGUAAUGCCUAUGAAUCUGCCUGGUAGUGGGGGACAGCGUUUCGAAAGGAACGCUAAUACCGCAUACGUCCUACGGGAGAAAGCAGGGGACCUUCGGGCCUUGCGCUAUCAGAUGAACCUAGGUCGGAUUAGCUAGUUGGUGAGGUAAUGGCUCACCCAGGCGACGAUCCAUAACUGGUCUGAGAGGAUGAUCAAUCACACUGGAACUGAGACACAGUCCAGACUCCUACGGGAGGCAGCAGUGGGGAAUAUUGGACAAUGGGCGAAAGCCUGAUCCAGCCAUGCCGCGUGUGUGAAGAAGGUCUUCGGAUUGUAAAGCACUUUAAGUUGGGAGGAAGGGCAGUAAGUUAAUACCUUGCUGUUUUGACGUUACCGACAGAAUAAGCACCGGCUAACUCUGUGCCAGCAGCCGCGGUAAUACAGAGGGUGCAAGCGUUAAUCGGAAUUACUGGGCGUAAAGCGCGCGUAGGUGGUUCGUUAAGUUGGAUGUGAAAGCCCCGGGCUCAACCUGGGAACUGCAUCCAAAACUGGCGAGCUAGAGUACGGUAGAGGGUGGUGGAAUUUCCUGUGUAGCGGUGAAAUGCGUAGAUAUAGGAAGGAACACCAGUGGCGAAGGCGACCACCUGGACUGAUACUGACACUGAUGUGCGAAAGCGUGGGGAGCAAAAAAGAUUAGAUACCCUGGUAGUCCACGCCGUAAACGAUGUCAACUAGUCGUUGGAAUCCUUGAUAUUUUAGUGGCGCAGCUAACGCAUUAAGUUGACCGCCU